UUCUUUCUCUUUUUUCCCACUGUGCGCCAUGUCUACCCUCUAAAUAUACAUCCAUUAUAUUUCAAAAGCCUUAUUCCAUUUUAAGUAUUGUAACCCCUAAUCACUGAUGCCCUGUCCGAUUGACGUAGGGCCCCGUAACGUAUGUCAAGGCUCUGCCUAAAUUCGUUGGGGUUCUGUCUCGUGACGAGUUGUACCCAAAAUAUAACAACCCUCCCGAAUAUUUUUCUGACACCCUGCACUUCCUAAAAUACACCCCGUAUGUGAAAACCAAGCCCGAAAUAUAAUAUAGUAUUAAAAAUAAAUAAAAACAAGAAAUAAUAAGUUGAGGCGGGCCGCGUAGGACCUCACCUCAACUUAACGCAGGCCGUGUGAGGAUGUAACUGGACUCCGCUGAAUUCUUUAGUUCAUGCGGGCCGCGUAAGGCCACACCGUUAGCUUAUGCGGGCCGCGAGUGUCCCAAUUGGUGGCGCAGCCCGGUGAUGACACGUGUCAUCAUCGUGGCAAGGCUAGAUCAUGACCAGGACAACCUACGCGUUGACCCAGUAUUGACGCGGGCCGCGUAAGCUUGCCUGUUCUUUACGCGGGCCGCGUGGGAACCAGUUUCAGCAACUAUAUAAGGAACACAUCGGAUUUCAAUUCAGUUCGUUCAUUUCUCAAUUCUCAAUUACAAUUUCUGUAGUAGGCUUAUUAUACUCGGGUAUUAUACCCCCUAAUUAGCGAAGCUCUGCCUCGUUGUAAGUAUCAUAACCCCUGGAUACGUAUUAGAUACUCUGCCAGAUUGAUCUAGGGUUCCGUAACGGCUGUCGUGGUUCUGCCCGACGUAGUCGUUGGAAUGCCGUCUCGGGGAGUGUGACACCCCAGGAAAACCAGCAAACGAUGUAACUUACCUAGCUUUAACUUACCUAGCUUCCUCAGUGAGUGCGUACCAAAUUUCGGGACGAAAUUUCCUUUUAGUUGGGGAUACUGUGACAACUCGUAAUUCGAACCCACUUCUGU
rnacentral:lncRNA from 1 species